rnacentral:rRNA from 1 species
GGCCAGCAGCCGCGGUAAUACGAGGGGACCUAGCGUAGUUCGGAAUUACUGGGCUUAAAGCGCACGUAGGCGGAUUAGAAAGUUAGAGGUGAAAUCCCGGGGCUCAACCCCGGAACUGCCUUUAAAACUACUAGUCUAGAGUUCGAGAGAGGUGAGUGGAAUUCCGAGUGUAGAGGUGAAAUUCGUAGAUAUUCGGAGGAACACCAGUGGCGAAGGCGGCUCACUGGCUCGAUACUGACGCUGAGGUGCGAAAGUGUGGGGAGCAAACAGGAUUAGAUA